GAUGAACGCUGGCGGCGUGCCUAACGCAUGCAAGUCGAGCGAACCCUUCGGGGUGAGCGGCGGACGGGUGAGUAACGCGUGGGUAACCUGCCCUGUACACACGGAUAACAUACCGAAAGGUAUGCUAAUACGGGAUAAAAUAAUAAAAUCGCAUGGUUUUAUUAUCAAAGCUGAGGCGGAACAGGAUGGACCCGCGUCUGAUUAGCUAGUUGGUGAGGUAAUGGCUCACCAAGGCGACGAUCAGUAGCCGACCUGAGAGGGUGAUCGGCCACAUUGGAACUGAGACACGGUCCAAACUCCUACGGGAGGCAGCAGUGGGGAAUAUUGCACAAUGGGCGAAAGCCUGAUGCAGCAACGCCGCGUGAGCGAUGAAGGCCUUCGGGUCGUAAAGCUCUGUCCUCAAGGAAGAUAAUGACGGUACUUGAGGAGGAAGCCCCGGCUAACUACGUGCCAGCAGCCGCGGUAAUACGUAGGGGGCUAGCGUUAUCCGGAAUUACUGGGCGUAAAGGGUGCGUAGGCGGUCUUUCAAGUCAGGAGUGAAAGGCUACGGCUCAACCGUAGUAAGCUCUUGAAACUGUAAGACUUGAGUGCAGGAGAGGAGAGUGGAAUUCCUAGUGUAGCGGUGAAAUGCGUAGAUAUUAGGAGGAACACCAGUUGCGAAGGCGGCUCUCUGGACUGUAACUGACGCUGAGGCACGAAAGCGUGGGGAGCAAACAGGAUUAGAUACCCUGGUAGUCC
rnacentral:rRNA from 1 species